GGGUGAGAUCAUACCUGAACUAAUGCACCGGAUCCCAUCAGGACUCCGCCGCUAGGCGUGCUUGGGCGAGAGUUGUACUAGGAUGGGUGACUCCCUGGGAAGUCCUCGUGUUGCACCCC